rnacentral:lncRNA from 1 species
UGGUGCGGUUGGGGCGGCAUAAUGUAGGCCUGAACUCGACUUGAGCCCGUGAUGGGAGGGACUGUUAGGGUUAGCUUUAGAUGGCUAUGUUCCUUCUUCACUUUUUAUAAAUAUCAUGAGAUUAGUUUUCAGGCUUCCUCCAUCGAAUAGCCAUCUAUUCAAAGGAAGCUGGGAAGAAGGACGUGACUUUUGGUGUUCGUCUAAGUGUCUGCGAUUGAUUUAUUAUUCAGAAUCUAUAGCGAAUACAUGUAUAUUUUCUAAAUCUUAGUUUAUGAAUUCUUACGUGUUGAG